GUUCCCGUCCCUGAUAUGGGCAAACAUUGCAAGCAGCAAACAGCAAACACAUAGCCCUCCCUGCGUGCUGACCUUGGAGCUGCGGCAGAGGUCAGAGACCUCUCAGGGCCCAUACCACUUCCAACAUCCCCUUGAUCUCUUGGAUUUUGGUGGAGAGGGGCAGAGGUUGUCCUGGCCUGGUUAGGUAGUGUGAGAGGGUCCCGGUUCAAAACCACCACUUGCUGGUUGAGGAGUCGUCAGUAAGUGGCUGCGCCCCCACCCUGAGGCUUGUUUCUCCAUCUGUACAAUGGAAAUGAUGAAGAUGCCCACCUGAUAGGGUUUUUGUGGCAAAUAAUAGAGAUGGGGUUUCACCAUGUUGGCCAGGAUGGUCUCAAUCUCUUGACCUUGUGAUCCACCUGCCUCGGCCUCCCAAAGUGCUGGGAUUACAGGCAUGAGCCACCACGCCCAGCUCCCCCACCUUUUUUUUUUUUUGAGAUGGAAAGCUCUGUCACCCAGGCUAGAGUGCAUUGAGCCAUCUUGGCUCUCUGCAACUUCUGCCUCCCGGGUUCAAGCAAUUCUCCUGCCUCAGGCUCCCAAGUAGCUGGGAUUACAGGCGCCCACAACCAUGCCUGGCUAAUUUUUGUAUUUUUAGUGGAGACAGAGUUUCACUAUAUUGGCCAGGCUGAUCUCGAACUCCUGACCUCAAGUGAUCUGCCUGUGUCAGCCUCCCAAAGUGCUGUGAUUACAGGCAUGAGCCACCAUGCCCCACCGCAAUUAAGUAAAGUAAUCAUCUAAAAGCCCUGCCAUGGUUCCUGCCACACAGUGUGUGCUGGGGAAGCGCGCACGAAUUAAACAGUAGCUGG
rnacentral:lncRNA from 10 species